AUUGAACGCUGGCGGCAGGCCUAACACAUGCAAGUCGAACGGUAACAGGAAGAAGCUUGCUUCUUUGCUGACGAGUGGCGGACGGGUGAGUAAUGUCUGGGAAACUGCCUGAUGGAGGGGGAUAACUACUGGAAACGGUAGCUAAUACCGCAUAACGUCGCAAGACCAAAAAGGGGGACCUUCGGGCCUCUUGCCAUCGCAUGUGCCCAGAUGGGAUUAGCUAGUAGGUGGGGUAACGGCUCACCUAGGCGACGAUCCCUAGCUGGUCUGAGAGGAUGACCAGCCACACUGGAACUGAGACACGGUCCAGACUCCUACGGGAGGCAGCAGUGGGGAAUAUUGCACAAUGGGCGCAAGCCUGAUGCAGCCAUGCCGCGUGUAUGAAGAAGGCCUUCGGGUUGUAAAGUACUUUCAGCGGGGAGGAAGGGAGUAAAGUUAAUACCUUUGCUCAUUGACGUUACCCGCAGAAGAAGCACCGGCUAACUCCGUG
rnacentral:rRNA from 1 species